rnacentral:lncRNA from 1 species
GCUCCUAAAUAGCAAUGUCAUAUCUUCGAACAUGCAAUAAAGCAUCAUGGUUUGUAUGGUGACGAAGACACAGUAUACGUUGGUUUUUCUGAAUGACCUAUAUCCUAAAUUACGUCAAGUAAACCAUUAUAUGUACAAGCACAAAUAAAGAGUCUAAAUAUCUAUUAAAAAAGAAUUCUUA